rnacentral:misc_RNA from 1 species
UUGAAUAAUAGGCAUUUCAAGCUAUUUGAAGGUAUAAUUUAAGACAAAUUAAGGAGGAUAACCUUUACCUUGAAGAAUUCAAGUCUUAGCAAGUGGUAGUUAUGUCCAGCAAGGUAAGCUACUGCAAUUUUCUCCCUCUUGUGCUUGACUUAAUUAGGACACUUGUUAUGUGUUAGUGAUUUGGAAAUUGCUACUUUUACAUGGUGAAUUUUGGGGAGGA